rnacentral:rRNA from 1 species
GAAUUUUGAACAAUGGGCGAAAGCCUGAUCCAGCAAUGCCGCGUGCAGGAUGAAGGCCUUCGGGUUGUAAACUUCUUUUGUACGGAACGACAAGCUUUUGGUUAAUACCCUGGAGUCAUUACGGUACCGUAAGAAUAAGCACCGGCUCACUACGUUCCAGCCGCCGCGGUAAUACGUAGGGUGCAAGCGUUAAUCGGAAUUACUGGGCGGAAAGCGGGCGCAGGCGGUUUUGUAAGACAGAGGUGAAAUCCCCGGGCUCAACCGGGGAACUGCCGUUGUGACUGCAAGGCUAGAGUACGGCAGAGGGGGGUGGAAUUCCGCGUGUAGCAGUGAAAUGCGUAGAUAUGCGGAGGAACACCGAUGGCGAAGGCAACCCCCUGGGCCUGUACUGACGCUCAUGCACGAAAGCGUGGGGAGCAAACA